GGAUGUGAUCAUACCAGCACUAAAGCACCGGAUCCCAUCAGAACUCCAAAGUUAAGCGUGCUUGGGCGAGAGUAGUACUAGGAUGGGUGACCUCCUGGGAAGUCCUCGUGUUCCUUUCC
rfam:Triticum aestivum genome assembly, contig: Triticum_aestivum_CS42_TGACv1_scaffold_459027_5DS